CUUCGCCGUCAGUCGUCAAUACAAGCAUUAUUUCUAAUGAUUGGAGAUUCACAUGAGUGAUCCAGUUCAAAGAAAAGUUGAGAAACACGAACCCAAUAACAUGUGUGAAGCUUCUCAUAACCUUGAAUUGGAAAAAAUGGAACAGCUGGAGGACUCUGUUAAAGCCAAGAAUAGACUGCCUCCCAACGCAGAAGUUCAAGAUUCUUUAAAGGAAGAGAUUGUAGAACUCCAGGACCGAUUACAGAAUCAGUUUGUGAUGCGCCAUGCAUUGGAGAAGGCAAUGAAUUAUUACCCUUUUUCCUAUGAUACUAUGAAUGAUAACUCAAUCCCCAAGGCCACCAAGGAACUAAUUAAGGAAAUUGCUGUGUUAGAACUGGAAGUUGUACAUUUGGAACGGUAUCUUCUCUCUCUGUAUAGAAACACAUUUGAUCAUCAACAAGUGUCAUCUCAAUCAAUCUGUGAUGAACUAUGCAAAAUGAAUUCAAUCACACAUAAAGAGACAUUUCCG
rnacentral:misc_RNA from 1 species